rnacentral:rRNA from 1 species
GAUGAACGCUGGCGGCGUGCUUAACACAUGCAAGUCGAACGGAGAGCUAAUGACAGAGGAUUCGUCCAAUGGAGUUAGUUUCUUAGUGGCGGACGGGUGAGUAACGCGUGAGGAACCUGCCUUGGAGUGGGGAAUAACACAGAGAAAUCUGUGCUAAUACCGCAUAAUGCAGUUGAGUCGCAUGACUCUGACUGCCAAAGAUUUAUCGCUCUGAGAUGGCCUCGCGUCUGAUUAGCUAGUUGGCGGGGUAACGGCCCACCAAGGCGACGAUCAGUAGCCGGACUGAGAGGUUGGCCGGCCACAUUGGGACUGAGACACGGCCCAGACUCCUACGGGAGGCAGCAGUGGGGAAUAUUGGGCAAUGGGCGCAAGCCUGACCCAGCAACGCCGCGUGAAGGAAGAAGGCCCUCGGGUUGUAAACUUCUUUUGUCAGGGACGAAGCAAGUGACGGUAC